rnacentral:piRNA from 1 species
UUAACUGGAUAUGUUGUUGC